GAUGAACGCUGACAGCAUUCUUAACACAUGCAAGUCUACUUGAUCCUUCGGGUGAUGGCGGCGGACGGGUGAGUAACGCGUAAAGAACUUGCCCUGCAGUCUGGGACAACAUUUGGAAACGAAUGCUAAUACCGGAUAUUAUGUGAGUUUCGCAUGAAAUUCAUAUGAAAGCUAUAUGCGCUGCAGGAGAGCUUUGCGUCCUAUUAGCUAGUUGGUGAGGUAACGGCUCACCAAGGCGAUGAUAGGUAGCCGGCCUGAGAGGGUGAACGGCCACAAGGGGACUGAGACACGGCCCUUACUCCUACGGGAGGCAGCAGUGGGGAAUAUUGGACAAUGGACCAAAAGUCUGAUCCAGCAAUUCUGUGUGCACGAUGAAGUUUUUCGGAAUGUAAAGUGCUUUCAGUUGGGACGAAGUAAGUGACGGUACCAACAGAAGAAGCGACGGCUAAAUACGUGCCAGCAGCCGCGGUAAUACGUAUGUCGCAAGCGUUAUCCGGAUUUAUUGGGCGUAAAGCGCGUCUAGGCGGUUUGGUAAGUCUGAUGUGAAAAUGCGGGGCUCAACUCCGUAUUGCGUUGGAAACUGCCAAACUAGAGUACUGGAGAGGUGGGCGGAACUACAAGUGUAGAGGUGAAAUUCGUAGAUAUUUGUAGGAAUGCCGAUGGGGAAGCCAGCCCACUGGACAGAUACUGACGCUAAAGCGCGAAAGCGUGGGUAGCANACAGG
rnacentral:rRNA from 1 species